CGAGUAAUGGACUAAUUGGUAAGUCGCCUACUUUGGAUGUAGGACAUCAUGCAGGUUCGAGUCCUGCUUACUCGA
rnacentral:tRNA from 1 species